GAUGAACGCUGGCGGCGUGCCUAAUACAUGCAAGUCGAGCGAACAGACGAGAGUGCUUGCACUCUCUGAUGUUAGCGGCGGACGGGUGAGUAACACGUGGGUAACCUACCUAUAAGACUGGGAUAACUUCGGGAAACCGGAGCUAAUACCGGAUAAUAUUUAGCUUCGCAUGAAGCAAUAGUGAAAGACGGUUCUGCUGUCACUUAUAGAUGGACCCGCGGUGUAUUAGCUAGUUGGUGAGGUAACGGCUCACCAAGGCAACGAUACAUAGCCGACCUGAGAGGGUGAUCGGCCACACUGGGACUGAGACACGGCCCAGACUCCUACGGGAGGCAGCAGUAGGGAAUCUUCCGCAAUGGACGAAAGUCUGACGGAGCAAUGCCGCGUGAGUGAAGAAGGUUUUCGGAUCGUAAAACUCUGUUGUAAGGGAAGAACAAGUACGUUAGUAACUGAACGUACCUUGACGGUACCUUACCAGAAAGCCACGGCUAACUACGUG
rnacentral:rRNA from 1 species